CAAAAUUGGGGAAUUCUUCAUCGAUUAAAAUAUUUGACCAAUCAGCAUGCCGUAUUCUUCUCCCGCCACGGCUGUCAGAGCUGUUCAUGGGGAACUCUUCCGGUUCAUCUAUUUAUACCUAAUCGGCUAGAUCAUGUGACUUUCAAAAUGGCGUUGAAAGGGAGUGUGUUUGCAACAAGAGCUAGGGCAGGUUCUUCAAAAUUGGCUACUCAAUACGAUGCAGAUGGAAAUGAAAUAGAGUUUGAUGUGCGAGAAGAUGAGGAACAAAACGUUAAGCUGGGACAAACUAUUGACCUGUUGCUGGCAGCGGGUUACUUCAGAGCCAGAAUCAAAGGACUGUCACCAUUCGAUAAGGUGGUCGGUGGGAUGACCUGGUGCAUCACAACAUGCAAUAUAGAUAUUGAUGUAGAUCUCCUCUUCCAAGAAAAUUCCACUAUUGGACAGAAAAUUGCCUUAACAGAAAGAAUCGUAGGUGUAUUGCCGAAGAUGAAAUGUCCACACAGAAUAGAACCACAUCAGAUCCAGGGAUUGGAUUUCAUUCAUAUCUAUCCUGUUGUCCAGUGGUUGGUGAAGAAGGCCAUAGAGACUAGAGAAGAAAUGGGGGACUUUAUUCGAGCUUUUUCGAUUUCACAGUUCAGUAAAAGUCACAGGACACCAGAGGAUGUUGUGUUUGAGGAACUAAAAGACACUGCCAUGGCCUCUGUUGCAGAUGUCAAGGAUGUGUAUAAACCACAGAGACGAUACAAGAGACAAAACGUAGAACAACUGAGGGAUGAAGAGACGCGCGUUCACUCGACGCUUCUGGAAUACGGCAGGAGAUAUGGUUUGAGCAAGUCCGACACAUCUGAACAGGAUGCUGAUAAAAGUGCUAAGAAGAAAGCAGCAGCUGCCAGUCUUGGAGGUCAGCAGGAAAUGACCCCGGAGGAGCUUCAGGCCGAGGAAGAGAAGAAAAUACAACAGCUGAUGUCUGGCAUGUCAGGAUUUCAGGAGGAUAAAUUGACAGCAAGUGCCGUGGGUUCGAUCGUAGGAAUGAGGUCUGAGGAAAUUCAACAAAUUGCCUCCCAUUACGAAGAGAAAAAAUCAGAGAUAGAACAAAUUGAGAAAUCGGAGCGAGUUGGUGGAACGCAGCAACACAAGAGAGUAACUGCAGCCCUGGGUAAACAACUACAGCAAAAGACGGACAAACUGCAACAGACUCAAGCGAAACAUGAUGAACUGCAUAAAGUCUACCUAGAAACUCAAGAGAAACUCAAGCAGGUUAGAAAUCGGAGUGACAGAAUAGAUGAAGAAAUGGUGAAACUGACGGGCAUCGAGACGGAAGAAAACAAGGGAGUCCUGGAUGCAUUGCGCUCUCUGGUGGCCAUGAAUGAGAACUUGAAGAAACAAGAACAGGAUUUCAAAGCUCAUUGCAAAGAAGAGAUGGCUCGUCUGAAGGCCCAGAUUGAGGAACUGAAAGCAGGAGCUGACUAUGGGGAGUCUGAGGACAAGGCCAGGGCCAGUUUGAUUGACAAGCAGUAUGAAGCAGACAGGGAGAAACUACACAAAAUUAGGCUACUUCUGGCCAGGAAGACCCGGGAAAUCGCUGUUCUCCAGAGAAAGAUAGAUGAUGUCCCUUCUCGAGCAGAACUCAGUCAAUACCAGCGACGUUUUAUUGAGCUGUAUAAUCAAGUUGCUGCCACCCACAAGGAAACAAAACAGUUCUACACCCUGUACAACACGUUAGAUGACACCAAACUCUACUUCAACAAGGAAGUUAGUCUACUGAAUUCUAUCCACGAUAACUUCAGACAGGCUAUGGCUAACCCAAAUACAAGGGAGCAAUUCCUGAAGCAGUUUGAAAACAUUGUGGAGGGGAUCAAGCAGAACAAAGCAAAGCUUGAAAAACGUAAACAGGAAGAGAAGAUGAAGCGCGACCAGCUGAAUGAUCAAUAUUUAGACUUGGUGGAAAAACAACGACUUUAUUUCAAAACCGUGAAAGACUUCAAGGAGGAAUGUCGGAAAAAUGAAAUGCUGCUUAGCAAAUUGAGGAAAUAACGAUUAAAUGGACUUGGAUGAUUUGCUUUCUGCUACAAGUGUAUUUUUAAAAAUGUUCUACUGAGCUUUCCUUCCUUUGUCAACCUCAUAUCUAACUAGUGCUGCACGGAAAAUAGGGAACCAGUUUAUCGUGUACUUGAGCAUCCAGAACAUCUCGCUAUAGUUUUCAACAUGAUAUAGGUUUAAACUUGCCCAGUAAAUUUGAAUUAGCAAUACAAAUGAUGUAUACAAAUUUAAAUAAGCAAUACAAAUGAUAUAUACAAAUUUAAAUAAGCAAUACAAAUGAUAUAUACAAAUUUAAAUAAGCAAUACAAAUGAAAUACUAUACAUAACAGAUGACAAGGUAUGAUUGAUUGUAUAUUGUUUAACGUCCUUCUCGUGAAGUUUUCACUCACAUGGAGACGUCACCAUUGCUGGUGAAGGGCUGCAAAAUUUAGGCCUAUGCUCGGCACUUGUGGCCUUUGAGCAGGGAGGGAUCAUUAUUGUGCCACACCUGCUGUGACGCGGGACCUCGGUUUUUUGCGUUCUCAUCCGAAGGGUCGCCCCAUUUAGUCGCCUUUAACGACUAGCAAGAGGGUACUGAGGACCUAUUCUAACCCGAAUCCCCACGGGAUGACAAGGUAUGCAAUACAAAUGAAAAAUAUUACAAUACAACUGGAAAGUUAUACAAUACAAAUGGAAAAUAUACAAUACAAAUCUUUUACAUGUAUUUUUACAAUACAAAUGAAACAUACAAAACAAAUGGAAUAGAUCAAAUAUUGCAAUGAUUGGCCUGCCAUAAAUCUUUUUCCUGUGCGACUUGCGUUAGUGUUGGUUGAAACUGAUGAGAUCGCUCACCUGGGCUGAAUAUGCGAGACCAUCUACAUGUCGUGUAAAUUUUGAAUGUACUGUGAUAUAACCCCCCCCCCCCCCCCUCACCCAAAAUUCGUUACCAGAACGAUGUAUCGUGUCUUUAAAAUCGUAAAACAGCUUGUGGUCAUGGGUUCGUUCUUGGUGCGCUUGAACGCGCUCGUGCAGUGAGUGUGCAAUCUCGUUUUGACUCGCUAGCUAUAAAACUGAGCAUGCUCUGCAUUAACGAUACAAUAACAUGUUCUUUGUCAUUCCCCAUUCUUGUUUAACACUUGAAACUGCAUACUAAGCUAUAUUAUCAUGUCUACAAAGAGAAAAACUGCAUGCUACGCUAUUUUAUCAUGUUUACAAAGAGAAAGACUGCAUACUACGCUAUAUUAUUAUGUCUACAAAGAGAAAAACUGCAUACUACGCUAUAUUAUCAUGUCUACAAAGAGAAAAACUGCAUGCUACGCUAUUUUAUCAUGUCUGCAAAGAGAAAAACUACAUGCUACGCUAUAUUAUCAUGUCUACAAAGAGAAAAACUACAUGCUACGCUAUUUUAUCAUGCAUACAAAGAAAGACUGCAUACCACCCUAUUUUAUCAUGUCUACAAAGAGAAAAACUACAUGCUACACUAUUUUAUCAUGUCUACAAAGAGAAAAACUGCAUACUACGCUAUUUUAUCAUGUCUACAAAGAGAAUCAAAGUACUUAAAGUACUCGUGGGAGUUGAACAUUGUGGAAAUUCAGUUAGAAAAGAUAGUACUGGAAGGGUAGGGGGAUAAAUGACUGAAUAUUAUCAUGAUUUUAGAUACAAA